rnacentral:rRNA from 1 species
AAGAAUAAGCACCGGCUAACUACGUGCCAGCAGCCGCGGUAAUACGUAGGGUGCAAGCGUUAAUCGGAAUUACUGGGCGUAAAGCGUGCGCAGGCGGCUUUGCAAGACAGAUGUGAAAUCCCCGGGCUCAACCUGGGAACUGCAUUUGUGACUGCAAGGCUAGAGUACGGGGUAGAGGGGGAUGGAAUUCCGCGUGUAGCAGUGAAAUGCGUAGAUAUGCGGAGGAACACCAAUGGCGAAGGCAAUCCCCUGGACCUGUACUGACGCUCAUGCACGAAAGCGUGGGGAGCAAACAGGAUUAGAUACCCUGGUAGUCCACGCCCUAAACGAUGUCAACUGGUUGUUGGACGGCUUGCUGUUCAGUAACGAAGCUAACGCGUGAAGUUGACCGCCUGGGGAGUACGGCGCAGGUUGAACUCAAGGAAUUGACGGGACCGCACAAGCGGU